rnacentral:rRNA from 1 species
UACGAAGGGGGCUAGCGUUGUUCGGAAUUACUGGGCGUAAAGCGCGCGCAGGCGGCUAUCCAAGUCAGUGGUGAAAGCCCGGAGCUCAACUCCGGAACUGCCAUUGAAACUGUUUAGCUUGAGGAUGAGAGAGGUGAGUGGAAUUCCCAGUGUAGAGGUGAAAUGCGCAGAUAUCAGGAGGAACACCGGUGGCGAAGGCGGGUCUCUGGGCCGAUACUGACACUGAGGAGCGAAAGCGUGGGGAGCGAACAGG